GAUAAUAUGUCAUGGGUAGUGAUAGACCUUUAAUUUACCUUUGAAUUGGAUGAGUAUGGUGAAUUUGUGAAAAUGAUUGAUGAAUGGAAUUGGAUGAUAAAUCGAAGCAAAUCCGUAGAAAUUAGAUGGAAUAGUGUUAGGAUUUUGUGAGAUGGAACAGGAUAUGAAGUGCAUAAGACGAUAGGAGUGAUUUUGUGUAAGAAUUGAACCGUGGAAGGUUAGAUCGAAUAGAACUCGUAGCAGAAAAGCCAUUGCAGAUCUGAGAAUGCUGG
rnacentral:lncRNA from 1 species